rnacentral:rRNA from 1 species
AGUCCGAUAACGAGCGCAACCCUUAUCCUUAUUUGCCAGCGAUUCGGUCGGGAACUAUAAGGGAACUGCCGGGUGAUAAACCGGAGGAAGGGGGGGACGACGUCAAGUCAUCAUGGCCCUUACGAGUAGGGCUACACACGUGCUACAAUGGGCAAAUACAAACGGACGCUAAACCGCGAGGUGGUGCUAAUCCUAGAAAGUUUCUCGUAGUCCGGAUUGGAGUCUGCAACUCGACUCCAUGAAGUCGGAAUCGCUAGUAAUCGCGGAUCAGCAUGCCGCGGUGAAUACGUUCUCGGGUCUUGCACACACCGCCCGU